GACGAACGCUGGCGGCGUGCCUAACACAUGCAAGUCGAACGAAAGGGCCCUGCGUUUGUGGGGUGCUCGAUAGGCGAACGGGUGAGUAUCACGUGAGUAAAAUGCACUUGACUUUGGGGUAUCUUCAGGAAACUGGGGCUCAUAUCGGAUAGAAGCUCUUGAUGCAUGGGGGGGGUUGGAAAGAUUCGGCGGUUCGGGAUGGUCUCGAGGCUUAUGAGCUUGUUGGUGGGGUAGUGGCCUACGAAGGCUUUGACGGGUAGCCGGCCUGGGAGGGUGACCGGCCACAUGGGUACUGAGGUACGGCCCAGUCUCCUACGUGGCGCAGAAGGGGGGAAUAUGGCACAAUAGGCGGACGUCUGAUGCAGCAACGCCGCGAGCGGAAUGACGUCCUUUGGGUUGAGAACCUCUUUCGCCUGAGACGAGGCGAGAUUGACGGUAACGGGUAAAGAAGCACCGGCUAACUACGUG
rnacentral:rRNA from 1 species